CUUAAUUUUCUUAAUUGCUUAAUAACAGGAAUUAAUGUGUUUUUGACCAGACCAAUGGGAUUGUAGAAUUGAUCUGUCGACCUUCAGCCGUGGAGUCAAAAUGCCCUGGGGACGAGGUUGUGCAUUUCUCACAAAUAGAUUACGGGCUAUGAAUAGUUUUUUUUAAUCAGCAGUUAAUUAUAGAAAAUGUAGUUAUGCAUUAAAUGAAUUCAAAUAAAACGACACUUUAGGUGCAUUCCAAAUUUUGCAUUGCCAAUGAUCACUUGUUGUCGAAAAGCUAGGCUGGAUCAGAUCUAGGACGACGUGCGCGAUGUAUCAUAUAGACCAGAGCACCAAUCAGAACCACGCUGAGACAACCAAAUCCAAUCAAAGAACCCACCAGUCUAGUGUUCACCGCCUCCGAGUGAGCUGAAAUAUUUACUUGAAGAAUUAGGAUACCAUAUGAUAUGUGUAGGAUAGCAUAUGAUAUGUGUAGGAUAGCAUAUGAUAUUUGUAGGAUAGCAUAUGAUAUUUG
rnacentral:lncRNA from 1 species